rnacentral:rRNA from 1 species
UACGGAGGGGGCUAGCGUUGUUCGGAAUUACUGGGCGUAAAGGGCGCGUAGGCGGGCGGUCAAGUCAGGGGUGAAAUCUUUCGGCUCAACCGGAAAAGUGCCUUUGAUACUGGCCGUCUCGAGGGAGGUAGGGGCAUGCGGAACUUCCGGUGGAGCGGUGAAAUGCGUAGAUAUCGGAAGGAACGCCGGUGGCGAAAGCGGCGUGCUGGACCUCUUCUGACGCUGAGGCGCGAAAGCCAGGGGAGCAAACGGG